UUGCAUUUUUCUGUCGACUUCGAUGUUCCUCGUGUCGGCUUCCCUCUGCGUCGCACCUUAACCUGCGGGCCUGCUCUUCCUAAUUACGCGCUAACAGUGGCAGCGCUUGACGACGUUGCACGCUACGCGUGUUACUGCCUCCUCAGGCCGACUCUGGAAGAACUGGCUUCAUCCCCCGGGCCUGCAAAAUAUGAGGCACGCUUCGAGAGACUUGGUGCCUGGCACGCCUGCCGACACCGCACCAGCAAACGUUUAUACCGGCUGCUACCAAAGACUGCUCACUGCUAGACCUGUGAAACAGCGGUGGCCGCGGACGUUUUCCUCCGUGAAGUUGCUCCUUCUCGGCACAUUCGACCUCCCGGAAUGUUUUCGACGGCCAGCCGGCAUUUAGUCCUUGGGGGCGUAGGCUACGUUACUAUACGCAAACGACACCCCAAGUUGAGCCGGCGAAGUGCAUGAGUCUCAAGUCGUGCCUGCCGAGUACUCGUUUUUUGUUUGUGUGUGUGUGUUCCCACUCGUCGCCGACGCUUGGACUAUGAACUGCGGAGGAGGACCUCUGACCGUGGCUGUUAACGGAGGACCUGCGCAGCAGCCCCUCUUCACCUCGAGCGUCGUCACGGCGAGCUUCCACACUUCGAGCGUGAAUGCUCAACAAGUAAAGUGCUAUAGAUGGUCACCAAGCUGGCGAGGGUGGCGCACGCCUUAGAGAAGUUAACUGCUUGUUGAGUUCCACUAGUUAGCGCUCGCUACAAUUGCAUAGCUACAUUUGAAAAUUACGUAAAGUUACUUUUGUUGCUUAACUGUAAGCCCGAGUUUCGUGGGCAUGGCUGCGGCCACAUCGGGUCUUCUCCGUGCCGGAAUCGAAGAGGACGGGCCACCGUGUUCGGGGUGGCGGCGUGUGUAGCUUCAGGCUUAGCUGACACAAGGCUUAGCUCACACUAGGCAGGCUAGCUGACAGCCGUCCUCUUUCGACUGCGUCAGGGACAUGGACCCGUUCCGAAUUGCGUUGCGACCCGAGACCACUAUUUCGUGACAGGGUAGCCCGGGCGCGUCAGUGCUAUCGAGCGAAAUGUGGAAUCGGGGAAGCAAACGCGGCAUUCGGAAUUUCCUCGCCAGCUUUAGCUACUAAUCCUGUUAAUGCAGCCCUCGACGCCGGACGUCUCCUUCUUUCCGCAUCGGAGCUCGGCCAGGCAGCAGCGACAAGCAUCACUCGUACCACGGCCUACCCUGUUCCCUCGUCGGUGGGGUCUUGCUGGCAGGCGAGACCAUGGUCAUCACCCUGAACCAAUACGGAAUCCCAACGUCUGCUGUCAACUGCGGCCGACGAGUCGGAAGAAUAUCCAGUGUGCUGCUGCAUACUUGACAUUCUCCCACAGGAGAUGGCCUUGUGCACCACGAGUACCGUGGCUGACCGCGUUGGCUCCAUUGCAUUCCCACACCGAUGGCGUCCUGCUGCGCAGACCGGACUUGGCUUGGAGCCCUGCUACUACUGGAUCCCGACGUCUGCGUUCGAUUGCGGCCCACGAGUAGGAAGGGUAUCCAGUGCGCUGCUGCACGUUUACCAUCCUCCCAACGUCCCAGAGGUGAUGGCCUUCAGCACCACUCGUACCGUGACCGACCGUGCUGCCUCGCCGCUGUGGUCUUCCUGGCCGACAAGAUUGCUCAUCGCCCUGCUCUGCUACGGUAUCCCGACGUCUGCGUUCGAUUGCGGUCCACGAGUAGAAAGGAUAUCCAUUGCGAUGCGUCACGUCUACCAUCCUCCCAGUGGUCUGAAGGAGAUGGCCUACAGCAACACCCGUACCGUGGCCAACCGCGUUAGCUCAAUUGCAUUCCCACGCCGACUGCAUCCUGCUGGCAGACGGGACCUUGCUCCUCAGCCGUCACUACUGAUGUCCAUUUUCGAUGGUGGUGCGCGACAAGGACGUUCCAGCCAGUGUUUCCAAAAGAUGAGAUCAUAUUCAGCCGCCAUCGUCCCAUGGCUCCACGUUAGCACGUCGGCCGGCAACUGUGGACGUCGAAGUCUGAGCGUGGAGACUAUAACCAAGGACCUGCGGAACAACCCCUUGACACAGCCAGCUUCUACACGAGCUUAAACGCUCGGCAAGUAAGAUACUUGGUGGUGUCUAAGCUGGCAAGGGUGGCGCACGCUUUUGAAACGUUAGCUGUUAAUUGAGUGUAGCUGUAUUCGAAAAUUACGUAAGUUUAGUUUAGGUGAAUAAUUGUAAGCUCGAAGAUUGUGGGCAAAGCUGCGGCCACAUCGGGUCUACUCCGUGACGGAAUCGAAAAGGACGGGCCACCGCGUUCGGGGUGGCGGCGUGUGUAGCUUCAGGCUUAGCUGACACAAGGCUUAGCUCACACUAGGCAGGCUAGCUGACAGCCGUCCUCUUUCGACUGCGUCGGGGACAUGGACCCGUUCCGAAUUGCGUUGCGACCCGAGACCACUAUUUCGUCACACGGUAGCCCGGGCGCGUCAGUGCUAUCGAGCGAAAUGUGGAAUCACGGAAGCAAACGCGGCAUUCGGAAUUUCCUCGCCAGCAUUAGCUACUAAUCCUCUUAAUGCAGCCCUCGACGCCAGACGUCGCCUUCUGUCUGCGGCGGAGCUCGGCCAUGCAGCAGCUAUACAAGGAUGACCUUGAGCACCAUUGGUCUCGUCACCGACCGUGUUCACUCCUUCGCAUUCCGUCGCCGUUGAGGUCUUGGUGCUGGACUGCACUUCCUUCCUCGCCCGGCCCUACUACU
rnacentral:misc_RNA from 1 species